UCUAGGAAAAAAAAAAAAAAAAGGAUGAAAAAAAAUAAUCCAUGACCCCAAAUCCUCGCUAAUCAUCUCUGAGCGCUCGAGGGGCUGCGGUGGCUUUCCUCAGCAGGAAAGUCCUGCCCUGCAAACGCUGCCAGUUCUGCAGGAGAGUUCUCCCAGCUGCCAUCGCGAUAACCGCUCGGGGAGCAGGGGCACAGAGGAGUGGGCUUGGGGGGUGUUUGUGCAUGAAAGGAGGAGUCUGCUUGGCCUGAGCUGGGAGGGGAGCGGGCUGGCAGCAGUCGAGGGCGCCUCAGGGACCCCCGCGCUGCAGCGCCGCGGCUCUCCAUCAGGCUUCUCGAGCACGUCAUCGCUUCGAACGCGCUGCAGAGGCUUCGUCCCAGCAGAGCUGAGCCAGGAUGGGGCACAGAAAGCAAAUGGAGGCAAUCGAGGGGCUGACUGAAGGCGCAGCGAGCACUGCCUGCACCUCCUGCUGCAGCACCACGACUCCACGUGCCAGGCCCGCGGGUCCCAGCUCAGCAUGGGAAUGUUUGGGCCGGGCGCGCAGCGAAGGUUUCAGCCAAAUCAAAGAAUUUCACAGCACGGGUUUCAGCCAAAUCAAAGAAUUUCUCACCGAGAGCUUCGCAAACGUGUGUGAGUGUGUGUGUGUGCAUGCGCGCGUGACACACCUCUUCCACGCAAACAAAAGGCUGCGCUCACUCCCAGCUCUUCCUUUGAUCUCGGGCUGGAUUUGAACAGGCGCUCUUCAUAAAAAACAUCCUCAACAAUUACCCAAGGGAAGCGCUCGGGUCCACACCGCCCCGGGCAGCUGCAGCCACGGCUCCGAGGAGCAGCCCCAAGGCAGCUGCUCGCAGGGAGCACCCGUGGCCGGAGCCUUCCCACCCUAUGCAACCUCUCGGCCUCCCCGUAGGAAGCUCAGCUCUGAGCGAGGAGCAGAACAAGCCCAAGGCACCUUUUGGUGAUGUCCUCAUGGGAGAGCUCCCCGGCACGUCCCCCAUGCAGAGAUGGGAGCCCCCCAGAGACUCAGCCCCCCUAAUCCUUCUUGAAACGUGCAGAGUCCUCACAGCCCGCACCUGCUACAAGCUUUUUGCGCUCAGCUUUUUCAGCUCCGUCGCAAUGCAAAAAGGCAAGAAAUGAGUUAAAAGCCAGGACGUGGCCACCAAACAAGGAGGGCAGCAGGCACCCCACGAGCACAGCCUGCUGGCUGCAAUGCCCAUGGACGUCCCAUCAGGUCCGGAGCAGAGCACACCAGGGCAUCACACGAAGGCAAUCGCACGGCCCAGGGACGGUGCCGUGAGCCACCCUGGCUCCAAACCCCCCUGGCACUGCAAGGACAGGGUCACGGCAGCGUGCCAGCCAGCCAGGAGCAGCAGCAGCGC